AGCGAACGCUGGCGGCAGGCUUAACACAUGCAAGUCGAACGCCCCGCAAGGGGAGUGGCAGACGGGUGAGUAACACGUGGAACGUACCCAUUGGUUCGGAAUAACUUGGGGAAACCCAAGCAAAUACCGGAUAAGCCCUUAUGGGGAAAGGUUUACUGCCGAAGGAUCGGCCAGCGUCUGAUUAGCUAGUUGGUGAGGUAAUGGCUCACCAAGGCGACGAUCAGUAGCUGGUCUGAGAGGAUGAUCAGCCACACUGGGACUGAGACACGGCCCAGACUCCUACGGGAGGCAGCAGUGGGGAAUAUUGGACAAUGGGGGCAACCCUGAUCCAGCCAUGCCGCGUGAGUGAUGAAGGCCUUAGGGUUGUAAAGCUCUUUUACCCGGGACGAUAAUGACUGUACCGGGAGAAUAAGCCCCGGCUAACUUCGUGCCAGCCGCCGCAGUAA
rnacentral:rRNA from 1 species